AUUGAACGCUGGCGGCAUGCUUUACACAUGCAAGUCGAACGGCAGCGCGGGCUUCGUCCUGGCGGCGAGUGGCGAACGGGUGAGUAAUGCAUCUGAACGUGCCCAGUAGUGGGGGAUAGCCCGGCGAAAGCCGGAUUAAUACCGCAUACGACCUGAGGGUGAAAGCGGGGGACCGAAAGGCCUCGCGCUAUUGGAGCGGCCGAUGUCGGAUUAGCUAGUUGGUGGGGUAAAGGCUUACCAAGGCGACGAUCCGUAGCUGGUCUGAGAGGACGACCAGCCACACUGGGACUGAGACACGGCCCAGAAGCCUACGGGAGGCAGCAGUGGGGAAUUUUGGACAAUGGGGGCAACCCUGAUCCAGCCAUGCAGCGGGCGGGAAGAAGGCCUUCGGGUGGUAAACCGCUUUUGUUCGGGAAGAAAUCCUCUGGGCUAAUACCCCGGGGGGAUGACGGAACCGGAAGAAUAAGCACCGGCUAACUACGU
rnacentral:rRNA from 1 species